GAUCAGGAUUUCCGCUUCCGCCCCUUUCCGGCGGUGACGACCUCCUCACGAGAACAUGCCUCUCGCAAAGGAUCUUCUUCAUCCCUCUCCAGAAGAGGAGAAGAGGAAACACAAGAAGAAGCGCCUGGUGCAGAGCCCCAAUUCCUAUUUCAUGGAUGUAAAAUGCCCAGGAUGCUAUAAAAUCACCACCGUCUUUAGCCAUGCACAAACAGUAGUCUUGUGUGUUGGCUGCUCUACUGUCCUCUGCCAGCCUACAGGAGGAAAAGCGAGGCUUACAGAAGGAUGCUCUUUCAGACGGAAGCAGCACUAAAAGUACCCUGUAUCAAGAUGAACGGGAAACCAUCCCAAUAAACACGUUUUGGAUACAUCCUGUUUACUGUCUUGUUUUACUUCUAGGAGGUUCCUACCUCACGUAUUCAGGGGCAACCAGAAGAGUGGAUUCUAGAGUCAUUUGGGGCAAGAAGGCAUUGUAUGCUGGAAAAAGAAUAAGAUGUCAACAAGGAGAUCUCUUCUCACUGGAGGAAGGCCUUAAGGGUCAAGUCCAUUCUUAAGUAUUGCUAUAAAAAAAUUUGUGAAAUGAAGGCAGUUUCCAAGUCUAAAUUCUACGGUGCUGAAUAUAAGGACUCCUUACCUAGAAAGAGGAAAGCUGUUGAUGCCAGCAUCACAAAGAGGGUAAAAAGGAGACUCUGGUAAGAACCUGCAAACUUCUGGAGAACACCUGAACCGUCACAUUGAUCUACGCGUUGGCAGAAUAAAAGAAGAUAGUUUUUUUAAUAUAUACAGGACAGAUGUUGCAUUUAAAAAUUGUAUGCUUCUGAGAUAUCUAGCUGAAGCACUCAAAACUUAGCCCUCUAGGAAAUUCUUUUUGUUUCUUACCAGAGAAAAAGGGGUGAACUGUACUUGGUGCCUCUACCUUUUUGGCUUUUUAUCACUAACAUAAUAAACUACAAUUCUUAAGCCUUUUCAGCUUCCAAAAGAAUGUUUAAAUUCUCUGCCACUGUAAAAUGCCUGUUAUCUCUCCUGUGUACUUUAACUCCAAGUGACAUCCUUCAACUUGUAAUCCCUCUAACCUGAAACAAUGACCCAGGAGCCACUUGUCCUUUUUUAUUCAGCUAUCAUUUCUAGGGAACAUGAUUUGUAUAUAAAUUUGUCCUCAAUAAAAGUUAAGACAUGUCUUUUGAAGCAUA
rnacentral:sRNA from 1 species